UACGGGGGGAGCAAGCGUUGUUCGGAUUUACUGGGCGUAAAGGGCGCGUAGGCGGUCAGCACAAGUCAGUUGUGAAAUCUCCGGGCUUAACUCGGAAAGGUCAACUGAUACUGUGCGACUAGAGUGCAGAAGGGGCAACUGGAAUUCUCGGUGUAGCGGUGAAAUGCGUAGAUAUCGAGAGGAACACCUGCGGCGAAGGCGGGUAGCUGGGCCGACACUGACGCUGAUGCGCGAAAGCCAGGGGAGCGAACGGG
rnacentral:rRNA from 1 species